CAAUCCACUAUGGACCCCCAAGACCCCCUCACAGAUGCUCACUCUUCAUUCUGUCUCUCUUGGCAGAAAAACAGUUUUCUCCCUCCUCUGUUAUCCAACCAAGAGCUCUGUUAGGGCAGAGAGAUCCUUCCUUCUCCAAGCUAGCUAAGAGCAUUCUACCUCCAACUCACUGUUUGAAUUCUUAGAGCUGUGGUACCCCUUGGUUUCGUACCUAGUUGUGUUUGCUAGCAUCUAAGAAGAUGUGGAAACCCCUGGAGGUACUCAGGGUGAUGGAGAUGUUGCUGUGUAGAGUGGUCCCCAUGGUCUAGGUUGUGGCUCAUAGUUCAGCCCUUUUGAAGAACUCUUAGUUUGUUUUAAAUUCCUUGCUCCUUGAGCAAUCCUUUUGCAAAACAAUAGUACUCUUCUGUUAUGUUUAAGUGCAUCGUGGUGUGCCUAAACUUUCAUCCCAAGUAUAUUAUGGAUAAUUGUAAUAGUUAGUACAUGUGUGCUUGAUGUCAUGUGCUUUUAUAUAUUAUAAUUAUGUGAUGUUUAAUUUUA